CCCUUAGACGUUCUGGGCCGCACGCGCGCUACACUGACCAGUGCAACAAGCAUCCGUCCUUGGCCGACAGGCCCGGGCAAUCUUUGAACGCUGGUCGUGAUGGGGAUAGACUUUUGCAAUUUUUGGUCUCCAACGAGGAAUUCCUAGUAAACGCAAGUCAUCAACUUGCAUUGAUUACGUCCCUGCCCUUUGUACACACCGCCCGUCGCACCUACCGAUUGAAUGGUCCGGUGAAGCCUCCGGAUUGGCGCGCACCCCGGUGCCGCCGAGAAGUUGGCUAAACCUUACCAUUUAGAGGAAGGUGAAGUCGUAACA
rnacentral:rRNA from 1 species